GAUGAAUGCUGGCGGCGUGCCUAAUACAUGCAAGUCGAGCGGUAAGGCCCUUCGGGGUACACGAGCGGCGGACGGCUGAGUAACGCGUGGGAACAUGCCCCAAAGUGAGGGAUAACGCACCGAAAGGUGUGCUAAUACCGCAUAUGGUCUUCGGAUUAAAGGAUUUAUCCGCUUUGGGAGUGGCCCGCGUACGAUUAGAUUGUUGGUGAGGUAACGGCUCACCAAGUCGACGAUCGUUAACUGGUCUGAGAGGAUGAUCAGUCAGACUGGAACUGAGACACGGUCCAGACUCCUACGGGAGGCAGCAGUAAGGAAUCUUCCACAAUGGGCGAAAGCCUGAUGGAGCAACGCCGCGUGCAGGAUGAAGGCCUCGGUCGUAACUGCUUUAUGAGUGAAGAA
rnacentral:rRNA from 1 species